UCAUAAUUUUUGUACAUGUGAAGAUGGAUAUUUAGAAAUUGAUAGUCAAUGCUUGCCAGGUGAUCUUCCAAUUGGUACGCCAUGCCAGCAUCACAAGCAAUGUAAUACUUCUGACAACGACACACACUGCUCAGCGGUAAAGAUAUGUUCCUGCAUACAUGGAAAACCGUGGAAUGGUUCAUGUUUUGAGGUUGGGAAAAUUCUCUAUGACCCAUGUGUCCUUGACGAACAAUGCACAGGGACAGAAAAUGCUAAUGUCUGUCUAAAUGGUCUAUGUGGAUGUGGAAAGGGGUUCUUAAGAAAAAAUCGUACA